AUAAGAUAACAACACAAGCAACCGUAUUUCACACUAAUCGUUGUGGAUUACGAAAAAAUGCUGGUUUUAAUUCUCUUAGGUUUAGUUAUUUGUGUGAGUGGACAGGAUUAUAAAUUAAAUAUUGUACAUUACAAUGAUUUUCAUGCGAGGUUCGUUGAGAGAAGUCAAUCGGGUAGGAUUUGUGACCCAGCAGCAGGACCAUGCAUUGGGGGCUUCGCCAGACUGGCGACAAAGAUCCGGGAAUCAGUGCAAAAAUAGAACAACACCCUGGUGCUAAACGGUGGUGAUACCUUCCAAGGUACCAUCUGGUUCAAUCUUUUGAAGUGGAACGUGUCGAAAGACUUUAUGAAUAUGGUGUAUCAUGAUGCUCAUGUACUAGGAAACCAUGAAUUCGAUCAUGGAGUUACGGAACUGGUUCCUUACCUCCAAAACCUUGAACAUGAAGUGGUAACAGCUAACAUAAAAGAUGAUGAAGAGCCCAGUAUUCAGGGCUUAUAUAAGCCAAGUAUUGUAGUGCAGAAGAGUGGAAGAAAGAUUGGUAUCAUUGGCGUUAUUAUUUCAAGUACUAAUGAAUUAGCUAUGACCGGAUAACUUAAAUUUAAAGACGAAGUAGAAACAGUAAAAGCUGAAGCUGAGAAAUUGACUCAACAAGGCGUUGAUAUUAUUGUCGUUUUAUCACACUGUGGUAUAGAUGUUGAUAAGUAUGUAUUCGUAAUCAU